UGGUGGAGUGACCCGUCUGGUUAAUUUCGAUAACGAACGAGAUCCGAGCUGUUUAGUUGGCUGUACCUGGUUUACAGGUAUAUGCCUCCUAUAUGGACUGUCAGUUUGAGGCUGAAGGAAGUUUCGGGCUAAAUCA
rnacentral:rRNA from 1 species